CUGUCCCAACAUGGAUCAUCGAGCGAACAGAUGAGAAGCUUGCUUCUCUGAUGUUAGCGGCGGACGGCGUGAGUAACACGUGGGUAACCUACCUAUAAGACUGGGAUAACUCCGGGAAACCGGGGCUAAUACCGGAUAAUAUUUUGAACCGCAUGGUUCAAUAGUGAAAGACGGUUUCGGCUGUCACUUAUAGAUGGACCCGCGCCGUAUUAGCUAGUUGGUAAGGUAACGGCUUACCAAGGCGACGAUACGUAGCCGACCUGAGAGGGUGAUCGGCCACACUGGAACUGAGACACGGUCCAGACUCCUACGGGAGGCAGCAGUAGGGAAUCUUCCGCAAUGGGCGAAAGCCUGACGGAGCAACGCCGCGUGAGUGAUGAAGGUCUUCGGAUCGUAAAACUCUGUUGUUAGGGAAGAACAAAUUUGUUAGUAACUGAACAAGUCUUGACGGUACCUAACCAGAAAGCCACGGCUAACUACGUGCCAGCAGCCGCGGUAAUACGUAGGUGGCAAGCGUUAUCCGGAAUUAUUGGGCGUAAAGCGCGCGUAGGCGGUUUCUUAAGUCUGAUGUGAAAGCCCACGGCUCAACCGUGGAGGGUCAUUGGAAACUGGGAAACUUGAGUGCAGAAGAGGAGAGUGGAAUUCCAUGUGUAGCGGUGAAAUGCGCAGAGAUAUGGAGGAACACCAGUGGCGAAGGCGGCUCUCUGGUCUGUAACUGACGCUGAUGUGCGAAAGCGUGGGGAUCAAACAGGAUUAGAUAC
rnacentral:rRNA from 2 species